GUCCUGGCCGUAAACGAUGGGUACUAGGUGUAGGGGGUAUCGACCCCUCCUGUGCCGGAGUUAACGCAAUAAGUACCCCGCCUGGGGAGUACGAUCGCAAGAUUGAAACUCAAAGGAAUUGACGGGGGCCCGCACAAGCGGUGGAGUAUGUGGUUUAAUUCGACGCAACGCGAAGAACCUUACCAAGGCUUGACAUUGAGUGAAAGCUUCAGAGAUGAAGCCCUCCCUUCGGGGACACAAAACAGGUGGUGCAUGGCUGUCGU
rnacentral:rRNA from 1 species